GGUUUUCUGCGUGCAGGCUUGCGUUGAAGCACGGUGGAAAACUCCCUUCUGAGGUGAAACACCAGUUAUCCUCAAUCGGUGACGUGGAAGUCUCUCAAAGGUUAUUCCUCCCCGCUUUGAAUCAAUUUCAUUGUUUUAAUACAUGUGAUCAACUUCCAUCGUAAAACACACCCCGUGACUUAUACAGUCAGGUUCCGCCCUGCAGACGGAUGCCACCGCUCCCUUUCUAAGAGAACGGAACGAAAACCAUCUGUCUGACGCUAUCUCUGGUGAGAUCGCCUCUAAGAUCAUUAAGCAGUGCAAACGAGACGCCCUUCCAGCGCCUCUAACCCGCUCUGUCCCCCUGCAGCCCGGUGGGCAGGAGGUCUAGGCGCUCCUCCGAGACGCUCCAGGACGCGGCGGGACUCGAGAAGACGUGAAAGUGAAGCGCGAGCAUCACUGUGAUUGGCUCUGCGCUCUCUAAAAGCAUCACACACGACGCGCUCCAGCCAGUGCUCCGACGAGCUCCCAAACUUACACGGACGUUUCUCCCCCCCCCCCACCUCCGACUCCGAGGAUCUUCACACCUGCAGAGAUCUCCAGAAAGGAGGGUGGUUCGCUCUCCGCGGUGCUGAACACAACAAAGGCUCCUGCGCUGAUCAACUAGUGAACACAAAGCCUCCCACCACCUCCUCCUCGCCGGCUUCUGAUCUUCAUGGUCGGAGCCUCCUGCAAGGCUGCUCCACGGUGCGUUGGGUGGUGUUGUGGAUGGAUUGGAGGAUGAUGCUGGACUCCCUGCGCCGGCGGAAGAGAAUGCUCCUCUGCUCCUUCUGGUUCCUGCUGCUGUUCGCCGCCGGAGGCCUGGUGCUCUUCAGCCACCUGCAGGACCUGUCUGAGAUGGUCCCGCAAGAGGCCCCAGAAUGAAGACAUGAUGGAGGCAGGCGCAGGGCUGAGGUGUAGCAGG
ensembl:lncRNA